rnacentral:tRNA from 1 species
GCGGACGUGGCGGAACGGCAUACGCAACGGAUUUAAAAUCCGUCGGGGAAACCUUAUGGGUUCAAAUCCCAUCGUCCGCACCA